rnacentral:rRNA from 1 species
GUGGUACCAUCAGGGCGAACAGCUGUUAACUGAUCGCUUUUUUUCCCACUUGACAGAGCUUUACGACUCGAAAGCCUUCUUCACUCACGCGGCGUUGCUGCGUCAGGGUUUCCCCCAUUGCGCAAAAUUCCUC